GCUUUAUUGUAGUUUUACACGGUUAACAGUUAUUAAAAAUGCUUUUGUACAAACCCUCUGCUCCAGUUUCCCUAUAAAUGCUUAAUUAAUUUCAGCUUCUGUCUCAUUUAUGCCUGCCCAGCUCUCUGAAAGCCUCCUCCACUGUUACCACUCGACAAAGUCUCAUUUCUUUGCUUAAAAUGAGAAAUUAAAAAAUAAGGCCUUAUUACUUGGAACUCAAAUCUGACCCCCCAAAUAUAGAAAGAAAAAAAAAAGGAAACUGGAGCAGCCUACCUCUUUUCUUGGGAUUACAAUGUAAAAUAUGAGAGAGCAUUAAAGCACCUCUUCUAUAAGAACCUGAGCAACACAUAGAAGAGGCAUGUAGCUUCUGAAGGGAAUUUUUUUACAGGACUAGUCCUCCAUUUUGAAAAUAUAAAAUGCUAUUAUCUCCCAAAUUGCUCUCUCAAAAGAUAAAACUGUCUUUUUCUUCUUCUUCUUCUUUGCAGAUCCAACAAACAUGUGCUCAGAAGAGGCAGAGCCAGGACAAGUUCAACCAUAGAUUGUAUAUACUAUGGACAACUUGGUUCAGCCUCCCGUCUGUAUACAGAUUUGAAGCCAAAAAGCUCUCGGUAUUUCCAGGAUUUUUCUUCAUUUCCUGAAACCAGUGCUGCGCAGUAGCGUUGUGCGCAUUCAGCGGGAGAGUCGCCAAGAGUCGCUGUGAUGACGCUCGGCUCAAACAGCGGAUCUCCCGGGUGAGCUACGCAUUUCCUGAACGACUUGAGCACAAACCAGUCUUACAGUAACUACAUGUCAACAUCGCAACCAGGAGGGAGAAAAAUGUAUGUUCUGUGUAAUAAAUUUCUAAAGUUUGUCCACAGCCCCCAUAAGCUUUGCUGGCGGAGGCGGGAUUUAUGACCUAUACUGCAGCCCGUCAACAGAGGGUGCUGUUCUCGGAGUGGCUUCACCCAGCGAGGAGGCAGACUCUGUCCAUUCUAUAUACAGUCUAUGGGUGCUACCUUCACUAUUCAAACUCUCCUGGGCCAAAACUCU
rnacentral:lncRNA from 1 species